CCUACGGGAGGCAGCAGUGAGGAAUAUUGGACAAUGGGCGCAAGCCUGAUCCAGCCAUGCCGCGUGCAGGAAGACGGUCCUAUGGAUUGUAAACUGCUUUUAUACAGGAAGAAACACCUCUACGUGUAGAGACUUGACGGUACUGUAUGAAUAAGCAUCGGCUAACUCCGUGCCAGCAGCCGCGGUAAUACGGAGGAUGCAAGCGUUAUCCGGAAUCAUUGGGUUUAAAGGGUCCGUAGGCGGUUUAAUAAGUCAGUGGUGAAAGCCCAUCGCUCAACGAUGGAACGGCCAUUGAUACUGUUAAACUUGAAUUAUUAGGAAGUAACUAGAAUAUGUAGUGUAGCGGUGAAAUGCUUAGAGAUUACAUGGAAUACCAAUUGCGAAGGCAGGUUACUACUAAUAUAUUGACGCUGAUGGACGAAAGCGUGGGGAGCGAACAGGAUUAGAUACCCUGGUAGUCCACGCCGUAAACGAUGGAUACUAGCUGUUCGGAGCAAUNUNGUGNGAGAGAAGAGAGUAAGUAGUACCGACCGUCGGGUAGGUACGUUCGUUCGAAGAAGUUAGAACGUUACGAAGUUAGAGUUAGACGGCGNGAGACGAGCGACGGACGACGACGAGGGAGGUAGGAG
rnacentral:rRNA from 1 species